CUACCCGGGUAUCUAAUCCUGUUUGCUCCCCACGCUUUCGUGCCUGAGCGUCAGUGCCGUCCCAGGAGGCUGCCUUCGCCAUCGGUGUUCCUCCGCAUCUCUACGCAUUUCACUGCUACACGCGGAAUUCCACCUCCCUCUGACACACUCUAGCCUCGCAGUCACAAAUGCAGUUCCCAGGUUGAGCCCGGGGAUUUCACAUCCGUCUUGCGAAACCGCCUGCGCACGCUUUACGCCCAGUAAUUCCGAUUAACGCUUGCACCCUACGUAUUACCGCGGCUGCUGGCAC
rnacentral:rRNA from 1 species